CAGCUAGAGUAUGAUAGAGGAAAGCAGAAUUUCUAGUGUAGAGGUGAAAUUCGUAGAUAUUAGAAAGAAUACCAAUUGCGAAGGCAGCUUUCUGGAUCAUUACUGACACUGAGGAACGAAAGCAUGGGUAGCGAAGAGGAUUAGAUACCCUCGUAGUCCAUGCCGUAAACGAUGUGUGUUAGACGUUGGAAAUUUAUUUUCAGUGUCGCAGCGAAAGCGAUAAACACACCGCCUGGGGAGUACGACCGCAAGGUUAAAACUCAAAUGAAUUGACGGGGACCCGCACAAGUAGUGGAGCAUGUGGUUUAAUUCGAAGAUACGCGCAGAACCUUACCAACACUUGACAUGUUCGUCGCGACUCUAAGAGAUUAGAGUUUUCGGUUCGGCCGGACGAAACACAGGUGCUGCAUGGCUGUCGUCAGCUCGUGUCGUGAGAUGUUGGGUUAAGUCCCGCAACGAGCGCAACCCUCACUUUUAGUUGCCAUCAUUAAGUUGGGCACUCUGAAAGAACUGCCAGUGAUAAGCUGGAGGAAGGUGGGGAUGACGUCAAGUCCUCAUGGCCCUUACGUGUUGGGCUACACACGUGCUACAAUGGUAUCUACAACAGGAAGCAAAACUGCGAAGUUAAGCAAAUCCCUAAAAGAUACCUCAGUUCGGAUUGCACUCUGCAACUCGAGUGCAUGAAGCUGGAAUUACUAGUAAUCGUGGAUCAGCGUGCCACGGUGAAUGCGUUCCCGGGUCUUGUACACACCGCCCGUCACACCAUGGGAGUUGGUUCUACCUUAAGGCAAGGUUUUAAACCCUUGACCACGGUAUAGUCAGCGACUGGGGUGAAGUCGUAACAAGGUAACC
rnacentral:rRNA from 1 species